rnacentral:RNase_P_RNA from 1 species
GAAGCAAGCCAGACCGCCGCUGGUGCAAGCGUCGAAAGACGGCACUGGAGGAAGGUCCGGACUGCACAGAGCAGCGCAGCGGCUAACGGCCGUCCACCGCGAGGUGAGGAUCAGAGCAACAGAGACGAGUCCACGGGUUCGCCCGUGGGGUGAAACGGGCAAUCUCUGCGCGCAGCAACACCAAGUAGGCCAGCGUUGACGUGGCUCGCGGAGCUGGCGGGUAGGUGGCACCGAGCCGUCCGGCAAUGGGCGGCCCAGAUGAAUGGCGGUCACGCCGGCGCUUCGCAAGAAGCGCCGGUGCACAGAAUCCGGCCUAUCGGCUCGCUUCACAU